rnacentral:rRNA from 1 species
UACGUAGGGGGCAAGCGUUGUCCGGAUUCAUUGGGCGUAAAGAGCGUGUAGGCGGCCAGGUAGGUCGGUUGUGAAAACUGGAGGCUCAACCUUCAGAGGUCGACCGAAACCAUCUGGCUAGAGUCCGGGAGAGGAGAGUGGAAUUCCUGGUGUAGCGGUGAAAUGCGCAGAUAUCAGGAAGAACACCUAUGGCGAAGGCAGCUCUCUGGGACGGUACUGACGCUGAGACGCGAAAGCGUGGGGAGCAAACAGG